AAAUAUGAAGCAAAAUUUUGCGCUUAAUUUCGACUUAAGAAUUUGGUUAUAACCCUUAUUUA
rnacentral:tRNA from 1 species